ACGGCCCCCGGGGCUCAGGCGGGGAGCAGCUCUGUGGUGUGGGAUUGAGGCGUUUUCCAAGAGUGGGUUUUCACGUUUCUAAGAUUUCCCAAGCAGACAGCCCGUGCUGCUCCGAUUUCUCGAACAAAAAAGCAAAACGUGUGGCUGUCUUGGGAGCAAGUCGCAGGACUGCAAGCAGUUGGGGGAGAAAGUCCGCCAUUUUGCCACUUCUCAACCGUCCCUGCAAGGCUGGGGCUCAGUUGCGUAAUGGAAAGUAAAGCCCUGAACUAUCACACUUUAAUCUUCCUUCAAAAGGUGGUAAACUAUACCUACUGUCCCUCAAGAGAACACAAGAAGUGCUUUAAGAGGCGGCGGAAGGUGAUCGAAUUCCGGUGAUGCGAGUUGUUCUCCGUCUAUAAAUACGCCUCGCCCGAGCUGUGCGGUAGGCAUUGAGGCAGCCAGCGCAGGGGCUUCUGCUGAGGGGGCAGGCGGAGCUUGAGGAAACCGCAGAUAAGUUUUUUUCUCUUUGAAAGAUAGAGAUUAAUACAACUACUUAAAAAAUAUAGUCAAUAGGUUACUAAGAUAUUGCUUAGCGUUAAGUUUUUAACGUAAUUUUAAUAGCUUAAGAUUUUAAGAGAAAAUAUGAAGACUUAGAAGAGUAGCAUGAGGAAGGAAAAGAUAAAAGGUUUCUAAAACAUGACGGAGGUUGAGAUGAAGCUUCUUCAUGGAGUAAAAAAUGUAUUUAAAAGAAAAUUGAGAGAAAGGACUACAGAGCCCCGAAUUAAUACCAAUAGAAGGGCAAUGCUUUUAGAUUAAAAUGAAGGUGACUUAAACAGCUUAAAGUUUAGUUUAAAAGUUGUAGGUGAUUAAAAUAAUUUGAAGGCGAUCUUUUAAAAAGAGAUUAAACCGAAGGUGAUUAAAAGACCUUGAAAUCCAUGACGCAGGGAGAAUUGCGUCAUUUAAAGCCUAGUUAACGCAUUUACUAAACGCAGACGAAAAUGGAAAGAUUAAUUGGGAGUGGUAGGAUGAAACAAUUUGGAGAAGAUAGAAGUUUGAAGUGGAAAACUGGAAGACAGAAGUACGGGAAGGCGAAGAAAAGAAUAGAGAAGAUAGGGAAAUUAGAAGAUAAAAACAUACUUUUAGAAGAAAAAAGAUAAAUUUAAACCUGAAAAGUAGGAAGCA
rnacentral:lncRNA from 1 species